GGUUCGAUGGUGUAGUUGGUUUAUCACUUCUGUCUAACAUAGCUCCGGCGUGUUCACAGGCGGUCCUCAGUUCGAACCUGGGUCGAAUCA